AUUGAACGCUGGCGGCAGGCCUAACACAUGCAAGUCGAGCGCGCGGCGGACGGGGGAGUAAUGUAUGGGGACUGCCCGAUAGAGGGGGAUAACUACAGGAAACGGUAUCUAAUACCGCAUACUAUCGGAUAACCCAUAGGGGAUUAGCUAGUAGGUGAGGUAAUGGCCAACCUAGGCGACGAUCCCUAGCUGGUCUGAGAGGAUGAUCAGCGACACUGGAACUGAGAGACGGCCCAGACUGCUACGGGGGCAGCAGUGGGGAAUAUUGCACAAUGGGCGCAAGCCUGAUGCAGCCAUGCCGCGUGUAUGAAGAAGGCCCUAGGGUUGUAAAGUACUUUUAGUCGAGAGGCGGUACCGGCAGAAGAAGCACCGGCUAACUCCGUGCCAGCAGCCGCGGUAAUAC
rnacentral:rRNA from 1 species